CUGAAAUAUCGGUUCUCAUAUGAUCACCGAAGUUAAGCAACAUCGAGCCUGGUCAGUACCAAUAUGGGUGACCGCCUAGGAAUAUAAAGUGCUGUA